rnacentral:tmRNA from 1 species
UUUGAAAUAUAUACAAAAAAUGUUAUAAUAAGAACGUUAAAAAUAACUAUGAUGAUAAACGUCGUGAGUAAUAGGUACUGUGGACUCGGGGGCGGAGCCCGACACUUCCACCAGGUUUAUGGGAGUGAAUAGAUUCGACAUGGGCUGAAAGGCAUGGCUUUCAUUCGGAGUGGUUUCCGUUAUAAAACCAAUAAAUAUAAAUGCGAACGAUAAUUUAUUCGCAUGCAACGACAACUUUGAUGCGGUAGCUUUGGCAGCCUAAUCAAAGGUAAGUAGACGCGGUUCGGGAGCGCCGGGCAACAGAAGCUC